rnacentral:rRNA from 1 species
UCCUACGGGGCGCAGCAGUAGGGAAUAUUGUUCAAUGGGGGAAACCCUGAAGCAGCAACGCCGCGUGGAGGAUGAAGGUUUUCGGAUUGUAAACUCCUUUUGUUAGAGAAGAUAAUGACGGUAUCUAACGAAUAAGCACCGGCUAACUCCGUGCCAGCAGCCGCGGUAAUACGGAGGGUGCAAGCGUUACUCGGAAUCACUGGGCGUAAAGAGCGCGUAGGCGGGAUAGCAAGUCAGAUGUGAAAUCCUAUGGCUUAACCAUAGAACUGCAUUUGAAACUGUUAUUCUAGAGUAUGGGAGAGGUA